AUUGAACGCUGGCGGCAUGCUUUACACAUGCAAGUCGAACGGUAACAGGCCGCAAGGUGCUGACGAGUGGCGAACGGGUGAGUAAUGCAUCGGAACGUGCCCAGUCGUGGGGGAUAACGCAGCGAAAGCUGUGCUAAUACCGCAUACGAUCUAUGGAUGAAAGCGGGGGACCGUAAGGCCUCGCGCGAUUGGAGCGGCCGAUGUCAGAUUAGGUAGUUGGUGGGGUAAAGGCCCACCAAGCCAACGAUCUGUAGCUGGUCUGAGAGGACGACCAGCCACACUGGGACUGAGACACGGCCCAGACUCCUACGGGAGGCAGCAGUGGGGAAUUUUGGACAAUGGGCGCAAGCCUGAUCCAGCAAUGCCGCGUGCAGGAAGAAGGCCUUCGGGUUGUAAACUGCUUUUGUACGGAACGAAACGGUCUGGGUUAAUACCCUGGGCUAAUGACGGUACCGUAAGAAUAAGCACCGGCUAACUCCGUGCCAGCAGCCGCGGUAACAC
rnacentral:rRNA from 1 species